AUUGAACGCUGGCGGCAGGCCUAACACAUGCAAGUCGAGCGGCGCGGCGGACGGGUGAGUAAUGCCUGGGAAUCUGCCUGGUAGUGGGGGAUAACGUCCGGAAACGGGCGCUAAUACCGCAUACUAUCAGAUGAGACUAGGUCGGCUUAGCUAGUGGGUGGGGUAAAGGCUUACCAGGGCGACGAUCCGUAACUGGGCUGAGAGGAUGAUCAGUCACACUGGAACUGAGAGACGGUCCAGACUCCUACGGGAGGCAGCAGUGGGGAAUAUUGGAAAAUGGGCGAAAGCCUGAUCCAGCCAUGCCGCGUGUGUGAAGAAGGUCUUCGGAUUGGAAAGCACUUUAAGUUGGGAGGCGUUACCAACAGAAUAAGCACCGGCUAACUUCGUGCCAGCCGCCGCGGUAAUUAC
rnacentral:rRNA from 1 species